rnacentral:lncRNA from 10 species
UACCAAACAAACCCAGACUUACAGAACUAAAAGCUGAUAAUUUAAUUCUGAUCAGUGUCUUCCUCAAGGCCAAGAAGAGUCUAUUUGGUGUAGAGAGCGCAGUCUUUCUGUCUCAUGAUACUGAUUACCACACAAAAGCAUUGGUGAAGAAACAACUGACUGAGUUGAGUUAGGGAGUUUUUUCAGAGUAAUUUUGACUAGUUGCAAUUUUCGAUUUGUGCUUUAUUUAGACUUGCAAACCCAGCCAAACUCGUAAGAUAAGAGUUUCCUUCAAGGCAACAAGCACAGAGCAUGCAGAAGGCACAGUAUCCCACGGACACAGGCAAAGGAAGGCCCACUUGAAGAAAUCCUGUGGAGAGGAACAGUGGCUCCCAUCAGACUGGAAGACUGCCUUAGGCCUGCCACAGGCAGCACCCACAGCUUCCACAGUCAGCUUGGCUGUUGGUCCAAAGACAGGGUUUCAUGGCCGCACAGCCAGAGCUCCUGUGUCAUCAGCCACCAUACCUAGCAACCCCUGCUGACGAUCACGUCUGAUUUUUGGCAUGCAUCAAGUCCAGCAUAUGGGGAACUGGAUUUAUUUUGCAUAGAGGCAUAAACAGUAAGGGAUGUCAUGAUAACUUAUCACAUAUAAUUUAGAAGCAAACCUUACUAUUUUUUUAUUUUCAGAGACCGAAAGGAAGAAAUAGUCUUAAAGAAUAAAAAGGAAAAAAUUAGGUUGGAUAUAAAAAAA